GUCUGGAUGGUGUAGUUGGUUAUCACGUCGGUCUCAUAGUUCACCUAUGAAUCUAGCAUAGCUAGAGAUAUCCGAAGGCCGCGAGUUCGAGUCUCGCUCUGGACA